rnacentral:rRNA from 1 species
GACGAACGCUGGCGGCGUGCUUAACACAUGCAAGUCGAACGGAAAGGCCCUGCUUUUGUGGGGUGCUCGAGUGGCGAACGGGUGAGUAACACGUGAGUAACCUGCCCUUGACUUUGGGAUAACUUCAGGAAACUGGGGCUAAUACCGGAUAGGAGCUCCUGCUGCAUGGUGGGGGUUGGAAAGUUUCGGCGGUUGGGGAUGGACUCGCGGCUUAUCAGCUUGUUGGUGGGGUAGUGGCUUACCAAGGCUUUGACGGGUAGCCGGCCUGAGAGGGUGACCGGCCACAUUGGGACUGAGAUACGGCCCAGACUCCUACGGGAGGCAGCAGUGGGGAAUAUGGCACAAUGGGCGGAAGCCUGAUGCAGCAACGCCGCGUGCGGAAUGACGGCCUUCGGGUUGUAAACCGCUUUCGCCUGUGACGAAGCGUGAGUGACGGUAAUGGGUAAAGAAGCACCGGCUAACUACGUG